CCAAGGCUAAAUACUACUGACUGACCGAUAGUGAACCAGUACCGUGAGGGAAAGGCGAAAAGAACCCCUGUGAGGGGAGUGAAAUAGAACCUGAAACCGUGUACGUACAAGCAGUAGGAGCAGGCUUGUCCUGUGACUGCGUACCUUUUGUAUAAUGGGUCAGCGACUUAUAUUCAGUGGCAAGGUUAACCAUCUAGGGGAGCCGUAGGGAAACCGAGUCUUAACUGGGCGUUCAGUCUCUGGAUAUAGACC
rnacentral:rRNA from 1 species